rnacentral:rRNA from 1 species
GGGGCUACGACUUAACUCCCAACCCAAUGUGACCAUACCAAACUGUUGCCUCGGCGGGGUCACGCCCCGGGUGCGUCGCAGCCCCGGAACCAGGCGCCCGCCGGAGGGACCAACCAAACUCUUUCUGUAGUCCCCUCGCGGACGUUAUUUCUUACAGCUCUGAGCAAAAAUUCAAAAUGAAUCAAAACUUUCAACAACGGAUCUCUUGGUUCUGGCAUCGAUGAAGAACGCAGCGAAAUGCGAUAAGUAAUGUGAAUUGCAGAAUUCAGUGAAUCAUCGAAUCUUUGAACGCACAUUGCGCCCGCCAGUAUUCUGGCGGGCAUGCCUGUCCGAGCGUCAUUUCAACCCUCGAACCCCUCCGGGGGGUCGGCGUUGGGGAUCGGGAACCCCUAAGACGGGAUCCCGGCCCCGAAAUACAGUGGCGGUCUCGCCGCAGCCUCUCCUGCGCAGUAGUUUGCACAACUCGCACCGGGAGCGCGGCGCGUCCACGUCCGUAAAACACCCAACUUCUGAAAUGUUGACCUCGGAUCAGGUAGGAAUACCCGCUGAACUUAAGCAUAUCAUAAGGCGGGAGGAA